rnacentral:sRNA from 1 species
GCUGGGCAUGGUGGCGCACGCCUGUAAUCCCAGCUGCUCAGGAGGCUGAUGCAGGAGAAUUGCUUGAACCCAGGAGGCAGAGGUUGUAGUGAGCCAAGAUCGCGCCACUGCACUCCAGCCUGGGUGACAAAGUGAGACUCUGUCUCAA